AUGAAAUGGAGACAGAGGAAUUUCCAUGUGGACACUUCACAUAUGAAGCAGAGCAGUUGCUGUCACAAUCUAAGGGAGCUUGCCGUCAGCGGCGCUUUGUUAACAACAAGUCCAGUUCGUCUCCAGCUCAUCAACAACACGCAGAGACACUUCGUUCUAAUGUGGACCACAGGGGUUAUCAAAUGGAUGAAGAUUCUUAAGGAUGGUCGUGAAGAACCAAAAACACUCCAAGAGGGGGCAGCGUCUCCGACACUCAGCCAGGUGGCUGUCAGAGUCGAGCACUGUCCCAGCUCUGCUGUGUCUCAUGAAGUUCUGAAAUGCACGUGCCCCAGUUUUGCUUGCCACCUGGAGCUCCAGCAAUGGAAGGUCUUGGGAGGAGAUUGGAUUGGAAGAAGGGAAAAAGCCAGUGUGUGUCUCCCCCUGCUCCUCUGCCCAGCACUGCGCCUCCAGCAGUGGCCACCCUGCCUCUGGAGACAGGCCCUGGCUCCCGGCGCUGGUGGGACCACUUCUUCCUGCUGUCCUUCCAGCCCCAGAAACCAAGAGCACCUUCUGCCGCUGUUACUGUCUGGGCUAUCUCACCUUCUCCUCUUUCCCCUUUUGUUCUGGCACUAUCUCAUACUUCCUAAUAGCAACUCCCUUGUUUGAAAGAUCUGCUGUGAAUCCUGUUGUUCAGAGAAGAUCCCAAUGGUUACAGUGGGCUGGGAGUCAUCAGUUUGGGACUUUGGUGUUUAGAUUUCUGAACCUGUGGUCUUUGGCAAGGCUUUAAGAAAGAAAAAACCCAUCUCCAUCAAUUUGGACUAUAUUCUCUGCAAGCAAUGUAUGCUGUACUUAAUCUCCAUUGGAAAAACGUAAUUGAAGUUUUAAGAAGGGUGGAAAAUUCAUGCAUAGUAAUAAUGAAAGCACAGUUUAAAUGUAAUAAUGGGAACCUUAGUUUUUAAAAGACCCAUUUAAGUAUCUAAUUAAUAAAGGACAAGGAAGGGCAAUAGAAGGCUCUCAACACAAAGCAACUCACUCAGAGCCCAAACAAAAACAGCUUUCUUAGAAACCAAGGAUGCUUGGCUAUUCACAGGGCAGCUUGAAACUCAUUCUACUGAUCUUUGAGAACACGCUAAAUUCAAAGUCAAAGGACAUUGAACAAAACAGUUCUAGAGAAUUAUGUAUCUCCACACAAUAUGUGGGGAAGAUAAGCAAGAAGGGAUUCAAAGGCUUCACUAAUAAUGCAAGCCGAGCAUCCCUUGUGAUACCAAAAAUCAGGGCUGUGUUUUCCAAGAGCGGACACAACCUCCGGGGGCAGAGGUAAGGGAUGGUACUGUGAGCAAAUUGGAAACCAGUUAGACAACCCAUAAUUUUAAAAAGUUUAAUUUCUCUGAACACCAUAAAACAUAGACCUGCCUCUCUUCAGUGAAGAGACAGUAGCUUGAGGAGUUUUAAUGUCACCUACUCAGGGAUGCUCUAAUUUUCAGACUGUGCUUUCCAGACGACCAAAAGACAUGACCAGAAUGCAUCUGCCUCAAAUGGAUGUUUCUGUGAAAAAGAGUUUACCUGUAAAACGGUUUGCACAUGUAUUCUGCGGCUUCUAAUCCUCCUCAGGCUGCUAUGAGCCCCUAUUCCUUCUGUAGCUUCUACAGUGUAACUCUUGAGACCAUGAAGAUACUUUCUUUUUUUGCAUGUGGAACUUUCUUGUACCUUUAUUUUUGAUUGAAGGAUAAUCACUUUACAAAGUUUACUAGUCUUUCCGGUACAACAGGGGACUCAGCCGUAAGUAUGCAUACAUUCCCUCCCUCUUGAGUCUCCCUCCCAGCUCCCCCAUCCACCCAGCCAGGUC
rnacentral:lncRNA from 1 species